GUGCUCACUUUGGCAGCACAUAUAUUAAAAUUGGAAUGACAGAGAUUACCAUGGCUCCUGAGCAAGGAUAACAUGCAAAUUCAGGAAGCAUUCCAUAUUUUA